rnacentral:rRNA from 1 species
AUUGAACGCUGGCGGAAUGCUUUACACAUGCAAGUCGAACGGCAGCACGGACUUCGGUCUGGUGGCGAGUGGCGAACGGGUGAGUAACAUAUCGGAACGUAUCCAAUAAUGGGGGAUAACUAAUCGAAAGGUUGGCUAAUACCGCAUACGCCCUACGGGGGAAAGCUAGGGAUCUUCGGACCUGGCGUUAAUGGAGCGGCCGAUAUCUGAUUAGCUAGUUGGUGGGGUAAAGGCCCACCAAGGCGACGAUCAGUAGCUGGUCUGAGAGGACGACCAGCCACACUGGAACUGAGACACGGUCCAGACUCCUACGGGAGGCAGCAGUGGGGAAUUUUGGACAAUGGGCGCAAGCCUGAUCCAGCCAUUCCGCGUGAGUGAAGAAGGCCUUCGGGUUGUAAAGCUCUUUCGCAAGGGAAGAAAACUUAUCCUCUAACAUAGGAUGAGGUUGACGGUACCUUGAUAAGAAGCACCGGCUAACUACGUGCCAGCAGCCGCGGUAAUACGUAGGGUGCGAGCGUUAAUCGGAAUUACUGGGCGUAAAGCGUGCGCAGGCUGUUUUGUAAGUCAGAUGUGAAAUCCCUGAGCUCAACUUAGGAACUGCGUUUGAAACUACAAGACUAGAAUAUGUCAGAGGGGGGUAGAAUUCCACGUGUAGCAGUGAAAUGCGUAGAGAUGUGGAGGAAUACCAAUGGCGAAGGCAGCCCCCUGGGAUAAUAUUGACGCUCAUGCACGAAAGCGUGGGGAGCAAACAGGAUUAGAUACCCUGGUAGUCCACGCCCUAAACGAUGUCUACUAGUUGUUGGUGGAGUAAAAUCCAUGAGUAACGCAGCU